UUUGGGCAUCGGAUCGAUAGCAGGAAGACGCUGAGCCCUGCGGUGGCCAGCAUGAGCCAUGUGCAGGUGACCCUGACUAUGGCUGCUCCUGUGGAUGUAUCUUAUAUUUGUUGAAGUCUUUUUGUUCUUGAUUCUGCUCAGGGACAGUCCCAGAACAACUGGGACUCUAAAAAAGGAGAUGAGAGAGGCCCCAGUGACCAGUUACAUCAGGAAGUUAACUAAAAUGUUAGUGGGAGGAAAAGAACCCUCCUAAGAGGCUCUAGACGUAAAGUGAGAACACUUCUGGGAUCUUAUGGGAGCAGGGAGAGGAGCCAGAAAGAAGCAAGUGAGGACAGUGGUGCACGUAGAUUAAGAGGCUCCCAGCCAUGGUCCUAUUAGAUAAGGUGCAAAUCCAGCAGGAGACCACAGCUACUGCUCAAGAUUGUGUUCAGUAAAAUCAAAACACCCUGGAGAUGUUUGAAAUCCAGCCCGUGAUCGACAGAUAUGAGCAACUUGGAGCCAAAGAAUGUCUUCUAGUUCAAGAAUUAGAAGACAUUAGAAGAAUUAGAAGAUGGGAAUUAGAAUCUUCCCAUCUUCACGGAACCUUUCACAUAAUGAAUACAAAUGUCUCUGUCUGGGUUUCUAAGCAGACUCCUGCCUGGAGCUUCCUCCACUCUUCCAGUAUUCGGAGCACCAGCUCACCUCCAGCCUUCCCCAAACUGAGCGAUUUACAGCUAGAGAAUCGUGACUUCCUCUCUUUCUGCAACAUCUCCCCCAUAAAAAAAAAAAACCCAGCAGAAAGCAAGUUGGACAUCAAAAGCCUCUUUAAAACCAACAUUUUGAUGACUUAAGAGUAAAUGAAUGAGAACCAUACGGCUUAAAUUUCCUUUAUGAUACACAAGGGCUCUUUCUGGACUCACUUUCCAUCGCUGCCAAGCUAAUGAUCAGAGUGGAAGUGGCCCAAUCCCCACAUCAUCAACAGAUGUCUCCCCAUAUUUGGAAAAUUUUCACGUGGCCAAAGAAGGAAGCUGCCA